AGAAGGAGAAGGAGAAGAGGACCAAGGUGCAGCGUGGUAGAAGGAGAAGAGGACCAAGGUGCAGUGUGGUAGAAGGAGAAGGAGAAGAGGACCAAGGUGCAGAGUGGUAGAAGGAGAAGGAGAGGAGGACCAAGGUGCAGCGUGGUAGAAGGAGAAGAGGACCAAGGUGCAGUGUGGUAGAAGGAGAAGGAGAAGAGGACCAAGGUGCAGAGUGGUAGAAGGAGAAGGAGAAUAGGACCAAGGUGCAGCGUGGUAGAAGGAGAAGGAGAAGAGGACCAAGGUGUAGCGUGGUAGAAGGAGAAGGAGAAGAGGACCAAGGUGUAGCGUGGUAGAAGGAGAAGAGGACCAAGGUGCAGCGUGGAAGGACCCACCAACGUGAGCUGAGCAGAUAACCAAUCAGGAUGCCAUUUCAAGGUUGGUCUCAACAUCACAGCCAAACUAAAGGAAGACAGACAUUCAAUGACUCACCACUGUCAAUGCAGUGCAUUGGUCUACAAAACCAGAUGAUUUCAUUUGAUGUGUUGUUUAUUGUCAAGGGGAAUACCAUUUUACAAUGUGGAAGAGGAAGGUAAUAUUUGUGAAAUAUUCACCUCCUAAGAAAUUUUCA
ensembl:lncRNA